CACGUAGGAGGCGAACGUUAUCCGGAUUUACUGGGCGUAAAGCGCGUGUAGGUGGUACUGUAAGUAGGGCGUGAAAGCUCCCGGCUCAACUGGGAGAGGCCGUUCUAAACUACAGAACUAGAGGAUGGUAGAGGGAGGUGGAAUUCCAGGUGUAGCGGUGGAAUGCGCAGAUAUCUGGAGGAACACCGGUGGCGAAGGCGGCCUCCUGGACCAUUCCUGACACUCAGACGCGAAAGCUAGGGUAGCAAACGGG
rnacentral:rRNA from 1 species